CACGGGGCUUGAACUCACGAACUGUGAGAUCAUGACCUGAGCCGAAGUUGGACGCUGAACCGAGCCACGCAGGCGCCGGAAAAAUGGAGAUUCUUGACGUCACCUCGGAACCCCUGAAUCACUAUUGUGGAAGCCAGGAGAUUUAUUUUUAAACAAUUCUACUACUCAUCACUGGGUCCUAGGCCGCAGGACCUAAAUCCUGCCAGCAACCGUGUGAGCUUGGAAGUGGAUCUCUCCCCACUCAAGCUUUUGGAUGAAACCUCAGUUCUGAUUGAUACACUGAUUACAGCCUCAUGAGAGAUCUUAAGGCAGAGCCCCCCAAUUAAGUCAUGCCUGCAUUCCUGACCCACAGAAACUGUGAGGUAACAAAUGUGUGCUAUUUAAGCCACUAAGUUAUUAUGGACAAUAAUAAUAUAAUUAUGAUAAUGUUAUUGUGAUAACAUUAUUAUGCAGUGAUAACUGA
rnacentral:lncRNA from 1 species